GACAAAAUGCAAAACACCUGCACAGCAAAUAAGGACGAGUCUUACAGCAGAGUUACUAUUAUUAUUUUUCUCAAAAAGAGCAUCUUUUAAAAGUUUUGGGGAUUAAGUGACUGACUGUGACCACGAGGUAAAACACAAGAGUUAAUUCAAAUAGAGUGUUUAUAAAUAAGUAUAGCUAGAGUCAAUGUGAUCCUGCCUACAGAUUAGCAGUUACAUUUAGAUUUAGCCGCCAUUGAUAUUUUCUUCCUCACAUUCGCCUAGUAAGUAAUAUGGAUUUGAAAAAUAGAAUUGUAGGAUCAUGAUUUCUUAAAAUAUUGUUUUGGCCUGACAUUUAAAUCAUGCUAAAUAGGGUUAGUGUAUGACUAACAGUCAAAUGUAAAGACACAGAUAUGCAAUUUGGUUGUAUUAUCCCUGUAGCAUUGUUGAGAACAUAGAUGAAUAAAUUAAUGCUAAUAGGCAGAUUCUGUUUACUGUUCUGCAAACUGCUCCAUGGAUGUGUGUUGUUCGUCAGACUGACACUCUUACCCUGACAAAGUCCUAACAGAAAAGGGAAAGCAGAGGAAGACGGUGCAGCCAAAAUGAUUGAGGACAUUCUCCAGAGCAAAGCUGGAGGGGAAAGGAUCAUGAACGAGUAUGCUCAGACAAAAAGCUUGAAUUACCGCAUCAGACAUGACAUGAUCAAGAUAUUGGUUGCAAAUAUGACAGAGGAUCAUGGGUAAACCAUCACACAUUUUAUGCAUUUAAGAUCAAUGUUUUGCAUUCAUGUAUUAUUGCCAAUCUAAUAAUUAUGUAUAUUUCUGGGGUCCAGAACAAGUCUCCAACGACAUGGGAAGGAGGAGGCAUAUGCAACAGGAAUAGUUUCCUUGUUUUCCCCUAUCUGGCUGACCGCAAAAGCAAGACAGACUGCCCACCAUUUAGAAUGCAGAAGACUGGAGUGGCUACUUGGUAUGGAGACUGAAGCACCUGCAAAAGGAGGCUGCAGAGGGAAGAAUAAAGUCACUAACGGGUGGACCAGCUGUAGAUCGAGACCCCUUCACGGACGAAGACUGGCUGAGGGAAGAAGGGCAGUGCCGAGAGCCAUCGCACUGAUGAAACACACGUCUGAUGAAGCAACCGUAAAAUAAAAUAUAUUUUUCUGUUUCAAAUAUUUUUUAUUAAACACACACAAGAAUGGUGUAUAGGUAUACAAGACAGGUAUACAAUUCUUAUCUAAACAUAAAAUAGCAUUCAGGAAUAACAAGGCCCAGAGCCCUGGGUGCAAAACAAAUCAUACAAAACACGACAUACAAAACAAGGACACGUAGAAAGAAAGAGGGAAGAUAUCCCCCACUUAUUCCCCAAAUAAAAUAUAUUUUUCAAUUGAACCUUUAUUUAACUACUGUAGGCAAGUCAGAACAAAUGUUUAUUUACAAUGAUGGCCUUAUGUUGUUGAUUUACUUCUGUGUUUUGGGUCGUUGUCCUGUUGCAUCACCCAACUUCUGUUGAGCUUAAAUUGGCGGACAGACAGCCUUUUAUUCUCCUGCAAAAUGUCUUUAUAAACUUUGGAAUUAAUUUUUCCGUCGAUGAUAGCAAGCUGUCCAGGCCCUGAGACUCCCAAACAAUGAUGCUCCCUCCAACAUACAUUACAGUUGGGAUGAGGUUUUGAUGUUGGUGUGCUGUGCUGUUUUUUCUCCACACAUAGUGUUGUGUGUUCCUUCCAAACAACUCAA